rnacentral:rRNA from 1 species
AGAGUUUGAUCAUGGCUCAGAGCGAACGCUGGCGGCGUACUUAACACAUGCAAGUCGAACGAGGAUCAUCGGGUUAGCAAUAAUUCGGUGGUCCUAGUGGCGUACGGGUGAGUAACACGUGGGUAACCUGCCCUCGAGUCCGGGAUACCCUCUCGAAAGGGAGGCUAAUACUGGAUACGUUCCCUGGGGCGCAAGACCUGGGGAGGAAAGGUAGCGAAAGCUGCCGCUUUUGGAGGGGCUCGCGGCCUAUCAGCUAGUUGGUGAGGUAACGGCUCACCAAGGCUAUGACGGGUAGCUGGUCUGAGAGGACGACCAGCCACACGGGAACUGAGACACGGUCCCGACUCCUACGGGAGGCAGCAGUGGGGAAUUUUCCGCAAUGGGCGAAAGCCUGACGGAGUGACGCCGCGUGGGGGACGAAGGCCUUCGGGUCGUAAACCCCUGUCAGAGGGAAAGAAGGGUGCUGGCGUGAAUAGCGCCGGCAUCUGACGGUACCUUCAGAGGAAGCCCCGGCCAACUCUGUGCCAGCAGCCGCGGUAAGACAGAGGGGGCAAGCGUUGCUCGGAAUCACUGGGCGUAAAGGGCGCGUAGGCGGGAUGGCAAGUCGGUCGUGAAAUCCUUCGGCUCAACCGAAGAACGUCGGCCGAUACUGCCGUUCUUGAGGGAUGCAGAGGAGAUUGGAAUUCCCGGUGUAGCGGUGAAAUGUGUAGAGAUCGGGAGGAACACCGGUGGCGAAGGCGGGUCUCUGGGCAUCUCCUGACGCUGAGGCGCGAAAGCGUGGGGAGCAAACGGGAUUAGAUACCCUAGUAGUCC